GGUUGCUUCCCUCCUCCCUGUCCAAGGGAUUUUACUGGCUGCAGGUGAAGGGCAGAGGAUCCCUCUGAGAGUGUUUUUUUCCAGCUGGAAUUCUACCAGCCCAAAAUUCCAGCUGCCAGGGAGAGGAAUCAGGAAAUCAAAUAACCAGUGAACGUGAAAAAAGUCGACAUGGUUUGGAGCAGCAGCGCUGGGUCAGAACGACACGAAAGGGUUUCUCAGCAGCAAAUGUUGCUCCAGGGACUGGGAUAUAAUUAACUCCUGCCUACUCCUCCCCUCUUCCCUGAUGCCAUCCAGCAUGCCAGCAGCACACAGAGGCUUCUGCGAAAUCUCACUCCCUGCCCUGCAGUUUUCCAGCAGAGCCAGAGGAAUGGGGAUCCUUGUGCUUGUUUUCAUACUCAUCUCCCUCACCCAGCACGGAGAUGCUCAGGGACCAGACAGCUGUAACCACGGAGGGGGCUUGUGCCGAGUGGGAACCUGUGUUUCUGGUGAAUACCCGGCUCAGUACUGCUUUGAACCCAUCAUUCUCUGCUGCAAAAAUCUGCUACCUGCCACCACAGGGAGCUGAAGGUUUCCAGAGCAGCCAGCUGCAGCACAUGGAGAGCAGCAGCCUCCACUGGCACGGCACGAGCAGCUGUUGGGAAGGAGAUUUUGUGGUUUCUGUGACUGUUGUUCCCCUAGGAGAAUAUGGCUGUGGAUUUGCUCAUGAACUCCUGAAUGCUUUGGUUUUGCUGUAAUUUUUUAGGAGACACUGUGACAAGAAGAAACUGAGGCCACACAAACAAUUUGUUGCCUUUUUGGGACUCUGAUUGUUACCUGACAUGCACAGGUGAAAAGUUGUUUUUCCCCUUACCUGAAACCAAUAAACCUGAGGUUUAACAAAGCA